rnacentral:rRNA from 1 species
UACCGACAGUUCAAGUUGCAUCCCUUUUUAUUGGGUCUAAAACAUCCGUAGCUUGUCGUUUAAGUCUCUUGUGAAAUCUCACGUCUCAAGCGUGAUGAAGUGCAGGGGAUACUGAGCGACUAGAGAUCGGUAGACGUAAGGAGUACGCCGGAGGUAGUGGUAAAAUACGUUAAUCUUCGGUGGACUAACAAUGAGCGAAGGCACCUUACGAGGACGAAUCUGACAGUGAGGGAUGAAGGCCAGGGGCGCAAAACGGAUUAGAUACCCGUGUAGUCCUGGCAGUAAACACUGCUCACUAAACAUCGGGCCCUCUUCGGGAGGAUUCGGUGCUGAAGCGAAGGCGAAGAGUGAGCUACCUGGGAAGUAUAGUCGCAAGAUCGAAACUUAAAGGAAUUGGCGGGGAGACAUACAACGAGUGACGCGUGCGGUUCAAUCAGAUUCUACACCGUGAACCUCACCAGGAGCGACAGCAGGAUGAAGGUCAGUCUAAAGGGCUUACCUGACACGCUGAGCGGAGAUACAAAGCCGACGUCAGCCUGUGCUGUGAAGUGACCUGUUAAAUCAGGUAACAGGCGAGACCCGUGUCGUUAAUUACUACAGAAAUGGGUACAUUAAUGAGAUUGCCUUGGUAACAAGGAUGAAAGUGCGGGCUACGUUAGGUGGCUUGUCCCUAAUCCCCUGGGCUACACGCGCGCGGCAAUGGUAAGUUCAAAUGGAUGCUACUCCGAGAGGAGACGCUAAUCCACUAACGCUUAUCUCAGUCCAGAUUGCGGGUUGCAACCCACCCGCAUAACGUUGGAAUUCGUAGUAAUCGGAUAUUAGCACUGUCCGGUGAAUAAGUCCCUGUCUCU